rnacentral:rRNA from 1 species
GAUGAACGCUGGCGGCGUGCCUAAUACAUGCAAGUCGAGCGAACAGACGAGGCGUUUGCUCCUCUGACGUUAGCGGCGGACGGGUGAGUAACACGUGGAUAACCUACCUAUAAGUCUGGGAUAACUUCGGGAAACCGGAUCUAACACCGGAGAAGAUAUUGAACCGCAUGGUUCAUUGGUGAAAGUCGGUUUUGCUGUCUCUAAUUGAGGGUUCCCCGCCGGUUUAGCUAGUUGGUACGGUAACGGCUUACCAAGGCGACGAUGCGUAGACGGCCUGAGAGGGUGAUCGGCCACACUGGAACUGAGACACGGUCCAGACUCCUACGGGAGGCAGCAGUAGGGAAUCUUCCGCAAUGGGCGAAAGCCUGACGGAGCGACGCCGCGUGAGUGAUGAAGGUCUUCGGAUCGUAAAACUCUGUUAUUAGGGAAGAACAAAUGUGUAAGUAACUAUGCACGUCUUGACGGUACCUAAUCAGAAAGCCACGGCUAACUACGUG